rnacentral:rRNA from 1 species
UACAGAGGUGGCAAGCGUUGUCCGGAAUUAUUGGGCGUAAAGAGCUCGUAGGCGGUGUGUCGCGUCGGUCGUGAAAACUUGGGGCUUAACCCUGAGCUUGCGGUCGAUACGGGCAUCACUGGAGUUCGGCAGGGGAGACUGGAAUUCCUGGUGUAGCGGUGAAAUGCGCAGAUAUCAGGAGGAACACCGGUGGCGAAGGCGGGUCUCUGGGCCGAUACUGACGCUGAGGAGCGAAAGCGUGGGGAGCGAACAGG